rnacentral:rRNA from 1 species
GGAGUCUGGUCCGUGUCUCAGUACCAGUGUGGGGGACCUUCCUCUCAGAACCCCUACGCAUCGUCGCCUUGGUGGGCCGUCACCCCGCCAACAAGCUAAUGCGGCGCAUGCCCAUCCUUCACCGGAUCGCUCCUUUCACACAAUGCCGAUGCCGGCAACGUGUGUAUGGGGAAUUAGGCCU